rnacentral:lncRNA from 1 species
GCUCUCUGCCUUUAUCAGAGAAGCAUGUUUAUCAGUGAGUGACAGUGAAAACAGAUAUUCCAUAACUUGCCAGAGUGCUAAGAUCAAAGGAGUGCUAAGCCCUAAAUAGGACAUCUGUAUCACGUACUCAGAGACCCAGGAAACAUUGCCAAAGAAGGGCUAAAAAGGCUUUAAGAGCUGAAGGAUGGGGAGUAGGACUCUACAAAGCUGUCGUCUGGAUAUGGAGUUAAGGAACACAAAGCUGCUGUGGACACAAGCAGAAGACCUGACUAUGGAAACAGAAGACAUCCAAGUAGGAGGGACACUAGUUUGGAAGAACCAGCUCAGUAGGGAUGGGAAGGACAAAAGAAGGCUUUAAUGAGCAAGAGCAUAUUCUGUGGCUGUUCCCAGGGCCCUGGACCAAAUGUGACUCUGCUUUUGUACUGAAUCCCAGGGGAGACUCUGGAGCUUGAGUGCUGGACAGUUUCACUGUCUGUCACCUUGCCUCC